UUGUUGCCAGCGGUCCGGCCGGGAACUCAAAGGAGACUGCCAGUGAUAAACUGGAGGAAGGUGGGGAUGACGUCAAGUCAUCAUGGCCCUUACGACCAGGGCUACACACGUGCUACAAUGGCGCAUACAAAGAGAAGCGACCUCGCGAGAGCAAGCGGACCUCAUAAAGUGCGUCGUAGUCCGGAUUGGAGUCUGCAACUCGACUCCAUGAAGUCGGAAUCGCUAGUAAUCGUGGAUCAGAAUGCCACGGUGAAUACGUUCCCGGGCCUUGUACACACCGCCCGUCACACCAUGGGAGUGGGUUGCAAAAGAAGUAGGUAGCUUAACCUUCGGGAGGGCGCUUACCACUUUGUGAUUCAUGACUGGGGUGAAGUCGUAACAAGGUAACCGUAGGGGAACCUGCGGUUGGAUCACCUCCUUACCUGAAAGAAGC
rnacentral:rRNA from 2 species